rnacentral:rRNA from 1 species
AGUCGGACGGCAGCGGGGUAGUGCUUGCACUACUGCCGGCGAGUGGCGAACGGGUGAGUAACAUAUCGGAACGUACCGGGCAGUGGGGGAUAACUGAUCGAAAGAUCAGCUAAUACCGCAUAUUUUCUGAGGAAGAAAGCAGGGGACCUUCGGGCCUUGCGCUAUCCGAGCGGCCGAUAUCUGAUUAGCUGGUUGGCGGGGUAAAGGCCCACCAAGGCGACGAUCAGUAGCGGGUCUGAGAGGACGAUCCGCCACACUGGGACUGAGACACGGCCCAGACUCCUACGGGAGGCAGCAGUGGGGAAUUUUGGACAAUGGGCGCAAGCCUGAUCCAGCCAUGCCGCGUGUCUGAAGAAGGCCUUCGGGUUGUAAAGGACUUUUGUCGGGGAAGAAAAGGUCGGGGUUAAUACCCUCGGCUGAUGACGGUACCCGAAGAAUAAGCACCGGCUAA